rnacentral:lncRNA from 1 species
AAAUUUAAUCAAGGACCUUAUCAAAAUAAUCAAACAAUUGAUAAUAAUGAUAAAAGAAUAUCAAAUGCCAUAUAUUUAAUGUCAAAUGACAUUCACAAAAUAUGUUCAAGUUAUCAAAUAUGAUAUUGGGUCUAGGGCAUAUCUACUAUAUCCCUAACAACACAGACAAUACGUUAACUAUCCAUAAGACCAGACAAUAAGCAGAAACAAGUUUUGCUUCUGGAUGUAUUUAGUCACCAUUUCUUCUCCUUCUCCUCUUCAUCUUCCCCACCCCUCACCCCUUUUUUUGUUUGCUACAAAGUAUCCUCUCUAGGGCACAGUCUCUUGCAGUUUUCUGCAAGGAUAAGGCCCUUCCCCCGACCCACACAAAGCGGGAGCUUAGUUCACCAGACUUACCUUUUUACCAAGUAUCCUCUGCAGCUCCUCUGCAGCUCUAGGGCAUUUUCUUUCUCCUAGACUUUCUUUCCUAUUUCCUUUUUAAAAUUCUUUGAUUUUUGAAACAAGCAAAGACUUUAACGCACCAAAUCACUCAUUCAGAUCGAACUCUUUGCAUCUGUAGGAUAAAUUGGUAACAGUACUAGAGCUUUACAAAUUAUCAACAAAGAAAGAGAGUAAAAUGGAGAUCAGAAACAACUUGCCAGUGCCAAAAGAGUACUUAAAAUGAAGCUAAGAAAGCAAAGAACUUUCAAGUGUAAAUUAUAUACAAAAAGAUAGUGAAAUUAUACCAGAAGAAGCAGUAUAUAAUGUGGUCUCAGUCUUGAUUUGGUAGCUCAGAAAAAUCCCCAUUAGAGCAAGAACACCAUAAAGAUGCAAUUUUUAGCUCCACUAGCUACAAGACAAAUAGCAAAAACUCAAGUUUUCAUCAGUAUAUGCACACAGAUAACUCCAGUUUGCUACUUCAAUACAAACCCCACAAGGCCCGUGAAGCCAGAUCUAAUAAUGUGUAACCAAGAAUCUUCCUCUUUCUGAACAUCGAGAAAUGACAACAACAAAUUUGGAGAUAAAAAAAAUGAAUCUUUCAACUGAACUGAGCUGUAAUUGUUUCACCCCACUUGGCUAUAUGAAAAGAAAUUAUGACAAGAAAGUUAGAAAUAAAAGGGCAUGAGGGCAAAAUGGGGUUGUAUUGCUUUCUUGAUUUUCUAUGGUACUUAUGAAAUGAAGUUCUUUUGGUACUUUUAUGUGAAGAAACAGCCAUAGUCAUAGAUAGUUGACUUGCUUUUUAGCUUCUUUUAUCUUUGCUAGUAGGUUGUCAAGAACAAGCAACCAAAAAAAGACACUGAAAAACUAAACAUGGGAUUUUACUAGUUGAUCAGGUAAUAGUCAGAGCAGAAGACUGUUAAUAGCUGAAUUUAGUUUCAACAUUAUCUGUUGUUGCUUAGCUG